CGAGCGCGAGCGACGGCAAUAGCAUCUGCAAGUACUUGACCAACACGCUACCCGGGUGUGGUAUCCACUAUUGAGGCCAAGCAACCUAGCUCGGUCAUCCUUAAGUGUGCUUGUGUCCACCACCUGAUGAAGAACGGGAGAAGAUUGCUGACUUUGUGCCUAAUGAUGGUUGCCUGAACUUCGUAGAGCAAAUUGACGAGGUGUUGAUUGCUGAAUUUGGUCUUAAGAGGCACGUCGUGGGAGAUAUCCCUUGUGGCAGGUUCAAAGUUGUGAUGGUAUCUGGUGUCUCCCAGCGAGAUUUGUUCCUUCUCUUAACAGUUACUAUUAAGAACAAAUUUAUGUUUCCAGCAAAAAAGUUGGCCGGCCCCAGCAAAAAAAAAGAACAGUUCCAGCAAAAAAAGAUCGUCGCCGUGGUCACAGGUGUCAACAAGCAGUCUUCGGAAUCAUCAAUAAGCCAACAGCGAGAAAUAAGUUUAAGAAUUGAGUUCCCUUAACAGGGAAAUAAGGAAGGGAAGAAACAAAUAGGGAACAAUCAGAUGAAGCAUCAAGGAAAAUGGAUUGAACAAUCAGAUGAAGCAUCCAGCUCGAGGAGAAGCAUGGUCUGCAAGGAGACCAAUCAUCUUGAGGUGGUUCUUUCAGCUACUGCAUGUUCCAUUACGGAGAAGGGUACUUAGUCGAUCUUAGGAGCCAGACUCUUCUCUCCUUGCAGGGAGAAUUUCAACAAAUGGUACUAUUACUCUCCCAACAAUUCUUUUAUCACUACAAAAUGUGUAGGAACCUUAUUUUUCCCUGAGAUACUGUAAUUGAGGAACCGAGAGCCGCGACGGAACAUUGUAUUUUGCACUACAUCCCGUAUUU